rnacentral:rRNA from 1 species
AAAGCGGGAGCAAUCCCGCAAGUACAGUGGCGUACGGGUGAGUAACACGUGGGUGAUCUACCCUCUAGUGGGGAAUAACGCUGGGAAACCGGCGCUAAUACCGCAUAAGCUCGAGAGAGGAAAGCAGCAAUGCGCUGAAGGAGGAGCCCGCGGCCGAUUAGCUAGUUGGGAGGGUAAAAGCCUACCAAGGCAUAGAUCGGUAGCCGGCCUGAGAGGGCACACGGCCACACUGGCACUGAAACACGGGCCAGACUCCUACGGGAGGCAGCAGUGGGGAAUCUUGCACAAUGGGGGAAACCCUGAUGCAGCGACGCCGCGUGAGCGAUGAAGCCCUUCGGGGUGUAAAGCUCUUUCGUCAGGGACGAUAAUGACGGUACCUGGAGAAGCAGCUGCGGCUAACUACGUGCCAGCAGCCGCGGUAAUACGUAGGCAGCGAGCGUUGUUCGGAGUUACUGGGCGUAAAGGGUGUGUAGGCGGUUUUCUAAGUUUGGUGUGAAAUCUCCCGGCUCAACCGGGAGGGUGCGCCGAAAACUGGGAGACUAGAGUGCGGGAUGGGAGAGUAGAAUUCCUGGUGUAGCGGUGAAAUGCGUAGAUAUCAGGAGGAAUACCGGUGGUGUAGACGGCUCUCUGGACCGCCACUGACGCUGAGACACGAAAGCGUGGGUAGCAAACAGGAUUAGAUACCCUGGUAGUCCACGCCCUAAACGAUGCAUAUUUGGUGUAGGUCAUUCAGUUGAUCUGUGCCGGAGCUAACGCGUUAAAUAUGCCGCCUGGGGAGUACAGUCGCAAGGCUGAAACUCAAAGGAAUUGAC